rnacentral:rRNA from 1 species
UACGUAGGGGGCUAGCGUUGUCCGGAAUCAUUGGGCGUAAAGCGCGUGUAGGCGGUUCGGUAAGUCCGCUGUGAAAGUCGGGGGCUCAACCCUCGGAUGCCGGUGGAUACUGUCGGACUAGAGUACGGAAGAGGCGAGUGGAAUUCCUGGUGUAGCGGUGAAAUGCGCAGAUAUCAGGAGGAACACCAAUUGCGAAGGCAGCCCCCUGGGCCGACACUGACGCUCAGGCACGAAAGCGUGGGGAGCAAACAGG